UUCUAUAUUUGUGCAAAUAGAUAAUUUGAUUCAAAAAGAGCUAAUAAGGCACAAUAUUUCAUACAACAGCCAAGCAUAGUACAAUUCUGGUAUUUAGCUAUAGAAUACAACUGAAUAUACACAUAACUAGCUUCACACAUAACUAUCUCCAGUGAGCUAAAACGCAUUGUUCAGUGUAGUUUUUCUUCGGGAUUCUUCUUCCUAGAGCUCCUGUACACCCAACUUUUGAAGAAUGAAAGCCAGCAUCUGCAAACAAUAAAUUAUGAAAAGUUACACAUAAUCAAGUGAAUCCGUGAAUAUAAAAUUCUCAUAACGAUGAAAAUUUGCUGCAGAACUUUAGAUUUAACAUGAAACCAUGCAUAUAACAUUCUCAUAACAGUGAAAACUGAGAUAUAUUUUGCAAAUGAUCAAGUACCAGCACAGUGCAAGUUAAGACAACAAAUGAACAGUACAAUGUGUAAGGGAGAAGCAAGACACAAGACGUAUGUAUUACAGGCAGUCAAACAGUUCAGGGAACAGCAAACAUGCAUGCAUGCAAUUGAAGUACGUACUAGUAGUACAACACAAUGCCAGGUUGGAGCAAAUCAUGCUUAAGCAAACAAUGGCAGCAGCAUGGCAUAACCAAAUAAUAAUGUGAGCAAACAACUGGAUAUGAGUCGCACUUGAUCACAGCAAAGAAUGUGCUACAAUACUUGAGCUUCAGACAAGGAGGAAGGAUUAGACAGACGAUACCUGGACAAAAUACUUUAGCGCGAUGCCCGGGACGGUGACCCCGCGAUGGAGGGCGCGCGAGAGCGCAAAUCGGGCGAGGGAGGCAGCGCGCCAGAAGGCCCUGGUGGCCGGGUCGCUGAGGACGUGGCG
rnacentral:lncRNA from 1 species